AGGGCUAGAGUGGAGUGGUGGAACACAGCUCGCUGAAGCCUCGACUUGCCAGACUCAAGCAAUGCUCCUGCCUCAGCCUCCAGAGUAUAAAUUUGAAUCCCUUCUAGCCUCAACUAUAGUAAGAUAUUUAUCUAGAGAAUAAUCGAGGAAAGUUGAGAUAGAGACAAUCAGAUCAGAUGAAAGGGACAUCAGGAAAGGCAUUGUGAUAUGGAAGACCCCAACAAGCCCAAUAUCAUAAUUAAUUUCAAAGACCGUGAGAGAGUGGUAAAACUACCAGGCAACUGAUUCAGCAGGGCUGCCACACUGAUGUAGCUUCUUGGCUUUAUUCCAACCCUUAACAUUUUUUUCCCCCUAAACUAGAAAAUAGUUCAGAAAACUUACAUAUAUUGUAUCCCUGCUUUUGCAUUUACUCUGGAGAAGACUACCAUUUUGUUCUACAUAGCACUUAUAUUUCUAUGUUAUGUAUGUUUCUAUGUAAUUUCUAUGAAGUGAGUAUUUCAUUCAUGAUUAGUUUUUCCACUAUUUCGUUUGCACUAAUUUUUUUUCUGUCUUCUUCAACCUACUGUUCGUUUAUUAAGUAAUCUCGACUGUCUGUGUCAUCUUUAGUCCUUCUUCAGUCCUACAACUUCUUUUCAAUACUGCAGUCAUGAUGAUCCUUAAAAUUGAGAGGAUCAUAUCGCUUCUAAUUUAAAACUCCCUAGUGGCUUCCCUUGAGAUUUCUACAAGAUUCUAUUUUUUCCCACUGAUAAAACAUUAAGCUUCCUUUAUUGAUUGCUACAGGAUCAAUUUUGAAAAUAAUUCAUAUAUAUUUUAAAAAAUGCACUUUCUCCAUUUGUUAGGUAAUGGUUCUACAUAUAUCUGUUAAAUCAAGAUUGUUAAUUGUGUUGUUUUAACCUACAUCCCUACUAAUAUUCUAUGUAUUUUCGGAAAGAAGUAUGUGGAAAUCCAAGGUGUUACCUAUUUUUUAUUUUCUUCUUGUUAUUUUUGUCAGGUUUUGGCCUUGAUGUUUGAGACUUUAUUUUAAGAAAUAUUCAUACUUAUGAUUGUUAUGUCUUUUUAGACCAUUGUUUCCUUUAUGAAUGAAUAAGAUCAUGUUUUAUCCUUAUUCAUAUUUUUUGUCUUUUAUUUCUAUCAAAGCGUUGUUUUGGUAAAUAUUUGCCUGGUCUUAUUCCCCAUCAUUUUAUGUUAACAUUUCUGUCUCAUUGUGUUAUAAACUUGUCUUUGGUAAAUAUAGUGAUGUUGUAGGUA
rnacentral:lncRNA from 1 species